UCUUCGGAGGAAGGAUUUGUCUGAUUGCAACCUCGUUAAAAAUUGCUAAAACAGGAACU
rfam:Moheibacter sediminis strain CGMCC 1.12708 genome assembly, contig: Ga0171597_104